GUCAUCAAGCAGUAACUAACAGAGUUAACCUGGUUCUGUGAUAUGGCACAAACUCCACCGGUUCAGGUAGCUGGACUAGCCGUCCUUUGAAAGGGUUGCUCUGUUUCAGUUAAAGAUAUUGUGGGAUUUGGUGCUGGCUUUCUCAGGAGAGCCAAACUGCACGUUGAUGGAAGCUAAGGAACUGUUAUUACACACUGUUCCCAUGCUUUCCUCAAGGCAUCUGUUUUUGGACACUGUCAGUGUUAAAGCACUGAGCUGCAUGGCCAUCUAGUCUGAGCUGCUGUGAUCACUUCUGUGCUUUUAUCUGAAGUGUGACUUGAGAAGGGAGCCCAUUUUGUGAUAUAUAUCUGGAAUGUGAGGAUUUGCAUAGUUAGUUUGGCUCCAGCCCUAUCACCUGCAAAUUUGUCCCUCUCGCUCUUAACUGAAGAGGCAUCAGACACUGGAGAUUAAGACAAAGUACCAGGCAGCUUUGCAGGUCCCUAUUUCAAAGGUGGUGAUGUUGAAUAUGAAAUUGUUGAGAAGAGUUGGAGUGUGCUACAAAAUUGACCUGGAGGAGACACCCUGGAUUCACUCAACCAGUCAUGGCUGGAGCAGUUUAACUUGAUGCACUCCUACUCUGGGCCCUGAUGUGUACUUGAUGGGACCUGAACACUGAAGGUCAGCUGUGAUGAAACAUUUUCAUUGAGAGCAGCACACCUACCUGAGAGGUGCCAUUCUUGAGGAAACACCCAUCUGUUUGGAAACAGUUCUGUUGGGUUGCCUUUGCCACCUCUUCCAUUGUCUUUCUUUUACUCUUGAUUUUAGUAAGAUUUUUAAUAUAUAAAUGUCACAAAAGGAAGAAUUAACAUUGUUGUUUAAAACGUGAAACUAUGAAUGCAGAGUUCAAAUAACUUCUCAAUUUCUUCUAAUAAAUAAGAACACCAUCACUAUGAGCAGUCCAAAUUCCAUUAAUCAGACCUAACAAGGUGCGAAAUUAAAGACCAUUAGAGGUUUUGAAAAACACCUAGGACCUAAAACAUCAAGUGUUGUACACAAAUAAAUUUGUUGUUUUAAAGUCAUAUAUUUGCCCAUGUACUGUGCCUCAAAUUGUCUCUACUUAUGAUGAUAUGGCCAAAUGGUAGAAUGGCCUUGCAUUGGAUCAUCUGUUACUUGACAUCUCAUGGCAUACAGUGUAUGAAACAUCCUGUUGUUAUUUUGCUGGAGACAUAAUGCUUUCAGCAGCUGUCACAAUGAAAUUGUGCUGUGAAAUGAGAGGUAUUAAAGGUUGUGACAUCAGGGCAC